AUUGAACGCUGGCGGCAUGCCUUACACAUGCAAGUCGAACAGCAGCAUGGAGAGCUUGCUCUCUGAUGGCGAGUGGCGAACGGGUGAGUAAUGCAUCGGAACGUACCGUGUAAUGGGGGAUAACGUAGCGAAAGUUACGCUAAUACCGCAUACGACCUGAGGGUGAAAGCAGGGGAUCGCAAGACCUUGCGUUAUACGAGCGGCCGAUGUCAGAUUAGCUAGUUGGUGAGGUAAAGGCUCACCAAGGCGACGAUCUGUAGCGGGUCUGAGAGGAUGGUCCGCCACACUGGGACUGAGACACGGCCCAGACUCCUACGGGAGGCAGCAGUGGGGAAUUUUGGACAAUGGGGGCAACCCUGAUCCAGCCAUGCCGCGUGAGUGAAGAAGGCCUUCGGGUUGUAAAGCUCUUUCGGCCGGGAAGAAAUCGCACAGGCUAAUACUCUGUGUGGAUGACGGUACCGGCAUAAGAAGCACCGGCUAACUACGUGCCAGCCGCCGCCGUAA
rnacentral:rRNA from 1 species